CUUAUGACGGUUUAUUCAUUAUUUUGUUAAAAAUUAUUGUAAUGAAAAAUUAUGCAAAUGUAGUUAGGUAUUUAAACUGUCGGUAGGUGUGUUGCGACACCAUUUUUUGUUACACUUGCUACUAAUUAUUGUCUCAUGUGAAUCAUCGUCCUUGGAGUAUUUAUGUGUUACCUGGCUGUAGUUUUAAAAUUAAUAUUUAGAUUUAGUGUAACAUUAAUCUACGUUUUUCUAAUAAAUCUUCGUUUUAAAAGUUCAAAAUGGAUUGUUAUUUUGCUGUCGUUGAUCAUGUCCUGCACUGGUUAUAGGAAACCAAGUUGGAGAUUCGUAUCAGGACUAGACGGAGAACUGACAUUAUGGGGGACCGGGGCCGAACUUUUGACGGGUUCACGGCCGAAGGUCGGGGCACAUCACAGAUGUACUAUGACAGAACAAUCUUAACAGACAAAACCAUAUAUCACAACAGACCAGACAUCAUGCUCAUAG
rnacentral:lncRNA from 1 species